rnacentral:tRNA from 1 species
UCCCAGGUGGUGCAGUGGUAAAGAACCUGCCUGCUAAGCAGGAGACUCAGGUUUGAUCCCUGAGUGGGGAA